rnacentral:rRNA from 1 species
UCUAUACCCUUUGUGAACAUACCUACAACUGUUGCUUCGGCGGGUAGGCCGUCCCCUGAAAAGGACGCCUCCCGGCCCGGACCGGACCCCCCGUGGGGCCGGACUCGGCGCCCGCCGGAGGAUAACCAAACGCUAUUUUAACGACGUUUCUUCUGAGUGGCAUAAGCAAAAUAAUCAAAACUUUUAACAACGGAUCUCUUGGUUCUGGCAUCGAUGAAGAACGCAGCGAAAUGCGAUAAGUAAUGUGAAUUGCAGAAUUCAGUGAAUCAUCGAAUCUUUGAACGCACAUUGCGCCCGCCAGCAUUCUGGCGGGCAUGCCUGUUCGAGCGUCAUUUCAACCCUCAAGCUCUGCUUGGUGUUGGGGCUCUACGGUCGACGUAGGCCCUCAAAGGUAGUGGCGGACCCUCCCGGAGCCUCCUUUGCGUAGUAACAUUUCGUCUCGCACUGGGAUCCGGAGGGACUCUUGCCGUAAAACCCCCCAAUUUUUCAAGGUUGACCUCGGAUCAGGUAGGAAUACCCGCUGAACUUAAGCAUAUCAAUAAGCGGAGGAA